UACAGAGGUCUCAAGCGUUGUUCGGAUUCAUUGGGCGUAAAGGGUGCGUAGGUGGCGCUGUAAGUCAGGUGUGAAAUUUCGGAGCUUAACUCCGAAACUGCAUUUGAUACUGCGGUGCUUGAGGACUGGAGAGGAGACUGGAAUUUACGGUGUAGCAGUGAAAUGCGUAGAGAUCGUAAGGAAGACCAGUGGCGAAGGCGGGUCUCGUGGACAGUUCCUGACACUGAGGCACGAAGGCCAGGGGAGCAAAACGGGG
rnacentral:rRNA from 1 species